UACGAAGGGGGCUAGCGUUGUUCGGAAUUACUGGGCGUAAAGGGCGCGUAGGCGGUCCUGAUCGUCGGAUGUGAAAGGCCUGGGCUCAACCUGGGAAUGGCAUCCGAUACGGCGGGACUGGAGUGUGGGAGAGGUUGGUGGAAUUCCCAGUGUAGAGGUGAAAUUCGUAGAUAUUGGGAAGAACACCGAUGGCGAAGGCGGCCAACUGGACCACAACUGACGCUGAGGCGCGAAAGCGUGGGGAGCAAACAGG
rnacentral:rRNA from 1 species